rnacentral:rRNA from 1 species
GACGAACGCUGGCGGCGUGCUUAACACAUGCAAGUCGAGCGGAAAGGCCACUUCGGUGGUACUCGAGCGGCGAACGGGUGAGUAACACGUGAGUAAUCUGCCCCUGGCUUUGGGAUAGCCACCGGAAACGGUGAUUAAUACCGGAUACGACCACUUCUCGCAUGGGAUGGUGGUGGAAAGUUUUUUCGGCCAGGGAUGUGCUCGCGGCCUAUCAGCUUGAUGGUGAGGUAAUGGCUCACCAUGGCUUCGACGGGUAGCCGGCCUGAGAGGGUGACGGGUCACACUGGGACUGAGACACGGCACAGAGUCCUACGGGAGGCAGCAGUGGGGAAUAUUGGACAAUGGGCGGAAGCCUGAUCCAGCAACGCCGCGUGGGGGAUGACGGCCUUCGGGUUGUAAACCUCUUUCAGCAGGGACGAAGCGCAAGUGACGGUACCUGCAGAAGAAGCACCGGCCAACUACGUGCCAGCCGCCGCAGUAA